rnacentral:lncRNA from 1 species
AAAGCACAAGCGUGUACGGUCCGGCAUGCAGCUGCAGUGUGCACUCUCUUUGUCACGCUAGUAGCGAUUACAAUCGGGACCCAGCACGCACGAAUCCCUAAAUAAGUCAAAUCGUAUACUAUGAAAUGCUGCAAAGCUGGUGUGCAAAGCUUGCGUAGAACACAUUGGGUUCUCGCGGCUCUCGACAUCCAACUGAUUAUCAACAAUCAGCCCGACGGUGACAGCUUUGCUCUACCCAACCUGAAACCCAUGGCAUUCAAGACAUCAUGACAUAAUAGUCCUCUCCCAUAUACUCAAGUUAAUAUAUGCAAGGUGAGUCAAAAUGGUGGAUGUCGUCACAUUUCGGCGCUCGUUCCACCUGCAGAGGGUGGCCAUUUAGCCAACAGGAUUUCUUUUCCUAAAAAAUGUUCGUUAUGUAGGUCCUUCCUGGCACGAUAGUCGGCCCCUCGCAGUUACUGCGCAGGUAUUGUACCGGUAAGCUUUCCAAAUUUAGAGCGCAAGAAAGGUAAUGCGCAUUUACAGAUUGGUCUGUUAGUUUAACACCAUCACUGAUGAAUAUAGAAUUUAACAAUUAACGCGACGUCAGGUGGCCCGUAAAGGUGUACGAUGCAAGUGGUCGCUGCGCGUUGAUGAGCAUCGAACAGCAGUUGCCUCCGGUGCGGCUGGCGAAUCUCGCAGCUGCCAUUCAACCAUUUAUGUGACAGAUCACUCUAUCAUCGGGUCAUUCCUAUCGUGGCGGCAAAUAUCCUCGAUUGUUUUCCUUGAAGUGGAAAAUAGAAGACAGAAGGGUGGAUGAGGCUGACGCCAGAUGUCUUGAAACUUGUGGCUGCUUGCGUUCCGUUAGGUUUCGUAAAUUUCUGCUGUAAGAUGAAUGUGCCGAUGAGCUGCCAUAAGCUAGAUGCAUGGUGGGAUGCUACCAUAGCGAUACAGUCCCAGACAGAUUGAUUUCCUUGAGCACUGCAAAAUAUAUGAUGGUAUAUUUCGAAAAAAAAACAAGCAGCGGGCGCAUUAGCUGCUGCAGAGAUACAUUUGGUUACUAAAAUAUUAUGCGAGGGGAUGUUCGAUUCGGACGUGCUGCGGUUGAACAUUUUGUAAUCCACCAGCUGGUGGAUUACACACCUGCAGUAUGCGUCCAUGCCUCGUGAGCGUUUGCAGCUCUUCUUACGCAUUGUUGCGAUCUUAUAACGAAGUCACAGUUCGUACACGUGAUUGUCCCAUCA